CAAUGCAAAACUCAGAUAUCUCCCCCUCUACUUAUGUGACUGCAGAGAGGAGGACAGAGGACAGAGGACACACAGUUUAACAUGAUGGACUAUAGGACAGGACUGCUGCUGCUCACUGUCUGCUGGGCAGGUGUUGAUGGUCAGACUCUGACAGAAUCUGAACCAGUGACUAAAAGGCCUGGAGAAUCUCACAGAUUGACCUGUGAAACCUCUGGACUGUCAUUCAGUAGCUACUGGAUGGCCUGGGUCAGACAGGCUCCUGGAAAAGGACUGGAGUGGAUCGCUUACAUCCACCCUACUAGCAGUAGCAGCAUCUACUACUACUCUGAGUCAGUGAAAGGCCUUUCCAGUAUCAUGAAACAACCUUAGUUACACCAAACAAUAUAGCAUAUAACAUAUAGCUGAAUGUAGAAAUCAUAUCACUAAAUAGAUUUAUCAUGUUUAUUGCAGAACAGAGCCUCAUCAAAAUGUCUCUUUAGAGAAGACAGCAGCUGAACCAUAAAAAGCAUUUAUGUGCUUACAUUUUGAAAAAGGUCUAAUCUGAGAUCCUCCGUCUUUUAACUUAUUUAGUUUGCAUUUUUCAUGCACUGCAGAAAUGUGUUUUUGCACAUUGUCAAAUAGGUUUCAGUUCCUUAGUAGUUUAUUUCCUCUUAAGACUCCAAGUCUCUCUGUAUCUGUCCUCAAAUUGCCACUAUUUGAAUACUGAAACCUUUAAAGUAAGAAAAUAAACAAAGUCCAGGUCUUCAUCCAGCUGCAGCAAACACAAGUAAACAUUUAGACCAUCAUGCUUUCCUUCAUUGCAGUUACAACAUAAAAAAGCAUAAUUCA